rnacentral:rRNA from 1 species
CAAUAGCGUAUAUUAAAGUUGUUGCGGUUAAAAAGCUCGUAGUUGGAUCUCGGCAGGCAGGGGGUGGUUCGCUCUUAGCGCUACUGCCCCAUUUGCCUGUGUGAUUGGCGGAGGUUUCGGGGUGCUCUUCGUUGAGUGACCCGGGGCGCCGUCAGGUUUACUUUGAAAAAAUUAGAGUGCUCAAAGCAGGCUUUUCACGCUUGAAUAUUCGUGCAUGGAAUAAUGGAAUAGGAACUCGUUUCUAUUUUGUUGGUUUUCGGAAAUCGAGUUAAUGAUUAAUAGGGACAAUUGGGGGCAUUAGUGUUCAGACGACAGAGGUGAAAUUCUUGGACCGUCUGAAGACUAACUACUGCGAAAGCAUUUGCCAAGAGUGUUUUCAUUAA